rnacentral:rRNA from 1 species
UACGUAGGGGGCAAGCGUUGUCCGGAUUUAUUGGGCGUAAAGAGCUUGUAGGCGGUUUUGUCGCGUCUGCUGUGAAAUUUCGGGGCUCAACCCCGAACUUGCAGUGGGUACGGGCAGACUAGAGUGUGGUAGGGGAGACUGGAAUUCCUGGUGUAGCGGUGAAAUGCGUAGAGAUCGGGAAGAAUACCCGUGGCGAAGGCGGCCAGCUGGGCCAGGUCCGACACUGAGGCGCGAAAGCGUGGGGAGCAAACAGG